ACACACACGCAGAGAGAGAGAGAGAGAGAGAGAGAGAGAGAGAGAGAGAGAGAGAGAGAGAGAGAGAGAGAGAGCGUUCCUCCAGGCGUAGCAGCAGCAGUUAGUCAGUCGCCGCCUGCCGCCAGCCCAGCUGAGGACAGGGGGACUGGCUAGCCCUCCUAUUGGUGACUCCUCUGGAAGCUGACGACCAGGCUGCCUUCACUGCGGGGCACGAGGUGUGGGGAGGAAGGGGAUGGGGAGGGGAAGGGAGGGAGGGGAGGGAAGGGGAGGGAGGGAGGCACCUACAGCUUAAUAAUCCCUAAUAAUAGUUGACUAGGACAGGUGGGGCGUCACUGAACCCGGCUGAUUAUGCUCCUGACUGUGCCGGGCGCCCGUGCUUCUCCCGCCGGGGACUAGAGUGUGGCGGGGCGGCGGGGCGGCCUCCACACCGCGGCCCCCGCUCACUGCCUCACGCAUGCCUCCCUCACGCAGGGUACGAGUAUUGUCUUAUCGUUAUGUUUUUUUUUGUUCUUUUUACACUUUGUCUCGUAAAGGGAUGGUUAUGAUUGCUAUUACCUAUCGGAAUAGAUACUUGGUGUGUGUACGCCUUGUAUGUACGCUAGAAUACGUUGUGUGUGUGUGUGUGUGUGUGUGUGUGUGUGUGUGUGUGUGUGUGUGUGUGUGUGUGUGUGUGUUUGUAUGUGGUUGUGUUUGUGUGUGUGUGUGUGUGUGUGUUUU